UUUUUAGUUCAUUUUUAAAAACAGCUUUUUUUUAAAGUAAUGAACAGGCUUUGUGUUAAAAUAAGUGAUUCUGUUUUUCUCUCCAAUUUUUAGGUAUUGAACGUGGUGUAGAUUGAAGGAGCAAAAGAUCUCUUCUUCCUUUCGUAGUUGACCUGUGAACAACACUGGUUUGAACUGCACUGGUUCACUUAUACGUGGAUUUUUUUUGAUGAAUACAAUACUAACUCAUCUUAUAUUUGAAGAUGCUGGUGUGGAAGAUUAUAGUGAGGUUCACCUUCAAAUUUUAAGAUUUGAAGAAACAUGGAACACAAGCUAAAACAAAUGUAAUGGAUUUUACCUGCACAGGACGCGGGGGCAUCUGCCCCGCCUCGCCGUCUCCGCCGCCUCACCCCUGCCGCCUCUCUCAGGGCUUCGGGCCGCAGCUCGCGCUGCCUCUCGGACUCGGCUCCAGCCUCCUUCAAGUCAUUCUCCG
rnacentral:lncRNA from 1 species